rnacentral:rRNA from 1 species
CCGACCGCGACCCCAGGUCAGGCGGGACUACCCGCUGAAUUUAAGCAUAUCAAUAAGCGGAGG